GAACGCUGGCGGCGUGCCUAAUACAUGCAAGUCGAGCGAACAGACGAGGAGCUUGCUCCUCUGACGUUAGCGGCGGACGGGUGAGUAACACGUGGAUAACCUACCUAUAAGACUGGGAUAACUUCGGGAAACCGGAGCUAAUACCGGAUAACAUGUUGAACCGCAUGGUUCAACAGUGAAAGACGGUCUUGCUGUCACUUAUAGAUGGAUCCGCGCCGCAUUAGCUAGUUGGUAAGGUAACGGCUUACCAAGGCAACGAUGCGUAGCCGACCUGAGAGGGUGAUCGGCCACACUGGAACUGAGACACGGUCCAGACUCCUACGGGAGGCAGCAGUAGGGAAUCUUCCGCAAUGGGCGAAAGCCUGACGGAGCAACGCCGCGUGAGUGAAGAAGGUCUUCGGAUCGUAAAACUCUGUUAUUAGGGAAGAACAAAUGUGUAAGUAACUAUGCACGUCUUGACGGUACCUAAUCAGAAAGCCACGGCUAACUACGUGCCAGCAGCCGCGGUAAUACGUAGGUGGCAAGCGUUAUCCGGAAUUAUUGGGCGUAAAGCGCGCGUAGGCGGUUUUUUAAGUCUGAUGUGAAAGCCCACGGCUCAACCGUGGAGGGUCAUUGGAAACUGGAAAACUUGAGUGCAGAAGAGGAAAGUGGAAUUCCAUGUGUAGCGGUGAAAUGCGCAGAGAUAUGGAGGAACACCAGUGGCGAAGGCGACUUUCUGGUCUGUAACUGACGCUGAUGUGCGAAAGCGUGGGGAUCAAACAGGAUUAGAUACCCUGGUAGUCCACGCCGUAAACGAUGAGUGCUAAGUGUUAGGGGGUUUCCGCCCCUUAGUGCUGCAGCUAACGCAUAAGCACUCCGCC
rnacentral:rRNA from 2 species